AACAGUGUGUUGCAGUGGUUUCAGCAUCAGACUACAACUCUGGAGACCAGGGUUCCAAUCCCAGCUCAGCCA